GUUUAUUGAUGAUCUCCCAUUUGUGCCAUUAUGUCUGGGUCAGGAACCCUGUGAUGGAAACUAAGAGCUAGAU